GGGGAUGAUCGGCUUCGACGGGAGAGGCUGGUCCCGGGUGGCGAGUCGAGAGGAGCCGACCUCGUAAAAUCAGCUCAAAAAAUCAAGUGCCAACACUCGCACUUACUCCGCUCUCCCCCUCGCUGCCUAACGUAGCGAGAUAGAGCAACUGGCUCAUCGUAGCCACGUCUGCCGGCAGCGUUCUCUGGCCGCUCGCAGGACAGGCGCAACAAAGUCAGAGUGCCGCGCGGUAGGGCCGCGAGCCGCGCGAAUAGAGGGCUUUCGGGUCUGAGCGGCUGGUUGAACGGGCGUUGUGUUGGUCUCGGCCGUUCAAUAAGAGCAAAGACCAACUACACUCGUAGAAGCUCGAGGAUCGAAUCUUUCGGACGCGGGUUCAAUUCCCGCCAUCUCCACCU
rnacentral:tmRNA from 1 species